UUCGACAUGCAUUCCAAUAGCACUGCUCCUUUGAGCGGUCCAAUUAGUCCUUUGGGGUUUCCACUCCAAAGUGUCUGCAUCAACCAAAUAUUUUAUGUUUUAUUUAUUGAAUUUGUUUGUCAAAACUGAUAAUUGUUUUUUCUUUAACCCAGAUGACGCGGAGGUGUUGGCCAUUGAGCGGAUUGGGCGUCGAUGAGAAACCGGGAAUAGAAAUGAAGAACCAAGUGAAUAAUACUAAGAAAGCUGGAUGCAGUCUAGUUUCCUGUUUCGGCAGUCGAGCUGCUGGAUGUCAACUGAAAAGAUUGCAAUAACCCGGAAAAAAUUCGAUGCUGCACCAGGAUGACGCGGAGGUGUUGGCCGUUGAGCGGAUUGGG